rnacentral:rRNA from 1 species
UACGGAAGGCAGCAGUGGGGAAUAUUGCACAAUGGGCGCAAGCCUGAUGCAGCCAUGCCGCGUGUAUGAAGAAGGCCUUCGGGUUGUAAAGUACUUUCAGUCGUGAGGAAGGUGUUAAGGUUAAUAACCUUAGCAAUUGACGUUAGCGACAGAAGAAGCACCGGCUAACUCCGUGCCAGCAGCCGCGGUAAUACGGAGGGUGCGAGCGUUAAUCGGAAUUACUGGGCGUAAAGGGCACGCAGGCGGUUAAUUAAGUUGGAUGUGAAAUCCCCGGGCUUAACCUGGGAAUGGCAUUCAAGACUGGUUAGCUAGAGUCUUGUAGAGGGGGUAGAAUUCCGAUGUGUAGCGGUGAAAUGCGUAGAGAUGUGGAGGAAUACCGGUGGCGAAGGCGGCCCCUGGCAAAGGACUGACGCUCAUGUGCGAAAGCUGGGGAGCAAACAGGGAUUAGAUACC